UCCUAAGAACUCCACGUGAAAGAAAGAGUUCCAUGUGCCAGAUAGUUUUGACCCCCCCACGACACAAACACACAUAUAUUAUAUACACACUGUAUGUAUGUAAUACAUACGUUAUACAAGUUUUUUUUUUUUUUCUAGACGGAGUCUUCCUCUGUCGCCCAGGCUGGAAUGCAGUGAUGUAAUCCUGACUCUCUACAACCUCUGCCUCCCAGGUUCAAAUAAUUCUCCUGCCUCAGCCUCCUGUGUAGCUGGGAUUACAUGCAUGCACCACCACACCCAGCUAAUUUUGUAUUUUAGUAGAGACAGGGUUUUGCCAUGUUGACCAGGCUGGUCUUGAACUCCUGACCUCAGGUGAUGCCCGCCUUGGCCUCCCAAAGUGCUGAGAUUACAGGCGUGAGCCACCACACCCAGUCCGAUGUUACACGUGACUACGCAAAUCAACAUUGUCGUCUGCCAAAGAAAGGGUUCCAGAUAUCCCAACAGAUGCCAAAUAAAUACUGGGACUUUGUUAUUCUCUGCAACAAAAUCAUUUACACCAAGUCAGGCCUGGAAGGGUCACCAAGCAGACUUCACAGCAGACCAUGACAUCCACAAGAAAACAGGAACAAGGACGCUAGAGGAGAGAAAGGAUUCAGUUUUCAGCCAUCUGAAGGCAGCUGGGGAAGCUUGGCCCACACACCACUGUGAGAAGCUUAACUCUGGGCAAGCUGUAGAGUCUUUCUCUCCGAUGUGGACCCUGGACAAAGGCAGAGAAGUUCUUAAGCCUCCUUCAGCUCACAGAGCCGGGCCUCCAUGUGGAUUAUCCAUUUCCCUGCUCAUUCAUCUUUGGAACCUUCAUGCUAAGCAGAAUUCCCCGCCCCGAUGCCUCCCCACCACCUGUGUAUGUGCAUUGCAGGAGGCAUGCUCAUUUCAGUAUCAGUCUGUGCAAAGCCUAAUUAGGGGGUUAAUUAGCAACCUCUCCUCACACACCCACCCACCAGGAACACACACUCGAUGGCAUAGUGUGCAUGUGGCAGAGCUGGGGAGAGGGUUUACGGGAUUAACUGCCCUUUGGAAUUAACUCUACUCCAUCAGUAUGGACAAUUUGGCAAUGACAACAGAGACUGAAUCACUCAAUCAAGGUUCACAUGAGCUAAGAG
rnacentral:lncRNA from 1 species